GACGUAGGGUGCAAACGUUGCUCGGAAUUAUUGGGCGUAAAGCGCACGUAGGCGGCUUUGCAAGUCGGAUGUGAAAUCCCUCGGCUUAACCAAGGAAGUGCAUCCGAAACUGCAGAGCUUGAGUACUUAAGAGGAUCGCGGAAUUCCCGGUGUAGAGGUGAAAUUCGUAGAUAUCGGGAGGAACACCAGUGGCGAAGGCGGCGAUCUGGGAAGAUACUGACGCUGAGGUGCGAAAGCGUGGGGAGCAAACAGG
rnacentral:rRNA from 1 species